rnacentral:rRNA from 1 species
GACGUAGGGCGCGAGCGUUGUCCGGAUUGAUUGGGCGUAAAGAGCUCGUAGGCGGCUCGUUGCGUCGGCUGUGAAAACCCGCAGCUCAACUGUGGGCCUGCAGCUGAUACGGGCGGGCUGGAGUUCGGUAGGGGAGACUGGAAUUCCUGGUGUAGCGGUGAAAUGCGCAGAUAUCAGGAGGAACACCAGUGGCGAAGGCGGCUCACUGGCCCGGUACUGACGCUGAGGUGCGAAAGCGUGGGGAGCAAACAGG